AGUCUUGGAGCUCUGUUGAU
rnacentral:snRNA from 1 species